UUCUUCUUGAUUCUAAUUUCUUGAUUUGUAUGUGCCUAGACUUUCUUUAUCUCGAGGCUCAAAGGAAAGGGUAGUCUAAGGAGUGAUUGUUGGUGAUAUUGAUGUUCGGCCAUCCAUAGUUCCAGGUAGGAUCGACCUCUACUUCUCGUUACUGAUAGUGGUUCGAGAGUUGCUGCUUAGAGUCUUACAGGUUGGUGAGGACUCGAGCUACGAUAGCCCGAGACCAGGUGCCAGGGCCCGCUGCUAUAGCUGGCACCUGAGGGU